UUUAUUUUGGCAAAGCGGUGUAACUGGGCUUACACAAUUAUUUAGGGACCUGUUGAGAACAGAAUCUAGAACUGGAUUACCCAACUGUUUUGUAGCAGGCAGUCCGCUAGUCAUCUUUUUUAAAGAACCACUAUAGGCAUUCACACCACUUCAGUUUAAUGAAGUGGUCUGGGUGCCAGGUCCCUCUAGGGUUAACCCUGUCUGCUGUAAACAUAGCAGUUUCAGAGAAACUGCUAUGUUUACUUUAGGGUUAAUCCAGCCUCUAGUGGCUCUCUCAUUGACAGCCACUAGAGGCGCUUCCACGCUUCUCACUAUGAUUUUCACAGUCAGAAGACGCCAGCGUCCAUAGGAAAGCAUUGAGAAUGCUUUCCUAUGGACUGGCUGAAUGCGCGCGCGGCUCUUGCCACGCAUGCGCAUUCAGCCGAUGACAUCAUAAGAGGGAGUAGAGUCCCCAGCACCGAGUGAGCCCGGCGCUGGAGAAAGGUGAUUGUUUACCCCCUUCCUCCUCCUUCAGCCCGGCGGGAGUGGGACCCUGAGGGUGGGGGCACCCUCAGGGCACUAUAGUGCCAGGAAAACGAGGUCCUUUAAUUUAUGUAUUAAAACCAGGAAAUGGGGGGGUUGGUAUUUAAAAGAAGGAUAUGUUUUAUAAGUCAGUUAACAUCAAUCCAACAUACCUACAUCACUGGCAACAUCUUCUGUAUAAGUAGAGCAUUUAACUCACAUUACAGGAUUUACUUUACACUAAUUUCCUUUUAACCAAUCAAUGCAAAAGUUGAAUAUGUCCAGUGGUGCUUUAAACGGUCCUAUCAUUCAGUAGAAUGCACAAUUGGAAGCAAAUUAGAGAUCUUGGUCAAAAGAGCUCUAAUAAUCUUCAAACCCUUCAGAGUAAAAAAAAUAAAUAAAUGUAAUCUAAUGUAGCCAACUCAUUGAAAAAAAAAUAAACCCUGUAUUAUUUGCAGUUGAAACGUGAGAUCUCUUUUCAGACCAAAUGCAUAAAACAGCCAGGUUAAUCUAGGAAAUGGCAGCAUUACCAGAGACUGGAGUUUUAUUUGAGUCAGUCUAUAGAUGUUGGCAUUUCCAUGAGAAAGGCAGGCAGGCCGAAUGCACUUAGUUCAAACUGUGCUCGAUAGCAGAGCUGAUAAAAUUGUAGGGAAUGAGGGCCGUGUCUUUUACAUGGGGUAAGCGGAGGAAUUAUAUAUUUAAAUAAAUUAGGAGAAGCCAUUAUGUAACCGAGAAAAGCUGCCAAGUUUUAUUAUACCUUGCGGCUCAGCAUUUAACCAACUGAAUGCCAAUAGUUGAGGCACUGAGCUGAAC